GUUUGGUUAAGUUAGAAAGGGCGCACGGUGGAUGCCUUGACACUAGGAGUCGAUGAAGGACGGGACUAACGCCGAUAUGCUUCGGGGAGCUGUAAGUAAGCUUUGAUCCGAAGAUUUCCGAAUGGGGAAACCCACCAUACGUAAUGGUAUGGUAUCCUUAUCUGAAUACAUAGGGUAAGGAAGACAGACCCAGGGAACUGAAACAUCUAAGUACCUGGAGGAAGAGAAAGCAAAUGCGAUUUCCUGAGUAGCGGCGAGCGAAA
rnacentral:rRNA from 1 species